rnacentral:rRNA from 1 species
UACGGAGGGAGCUAGCGUUGUUCGGAAUUACUGGGCGUAAAGCGCGCGUAGGCGGCUUUGUAAGUUAGAGGUGAAAGCCCGGAGUUCAACUCCGGAACUGCCUUUAAAACUGCAUCGCUUGAAUCCAGGAGAGGUGAGUGGAAUUCCGAGUGUAGAGGUGAAAUUCGUAGAUAUUCGGAAGAACACCAGUGGCGAAGGCGGCUCACUGGACUGGUAUUGACGCUGAGGUGCGAAAGCGUGGGGAGCAAACAGG